rnacentral:rRNA from 1 species
AGAAUCAACGCUGGCGGCGUGCCUCAGACAUGCAAGUCGAACGCGAAAGUCCCCUUCGGGGGACAAGUAGAGUGGCGCACGGGUGAGUAACACGUAGGUAAUCUACCUUUGGAUGGGGAAUAACAACCGGAAACGGUUGCUAAUACCGCAUGAUGCAGCGGCACCUAAUGGUGACAGUUGUUAAAGCGGGGGAUCGAAAGACCUCGCGUCUGAAGAGGAGCCUGCGGCGGAUUAGCUAGUUGGUAAGGUAACGGCUUAACCAAGGCUACGAUCC